GUCACAGACCGCAGGAACUGUAGGGGUCCGGAGGACACGCUGGUGUCGACAGUCACUUACCAGCGGCUCAGAAGGGAGCACACUUCACUUUAUGUGCUACUCUCAGCAACUGGACCUGUUGAUGUGACCUAUGCUGAGGUUGACCUUAAACAGAAGGCCAAAGCCAAGAAGAAGAAAGAAACAUCAACCCCACCUGAGGCAGAUUCAGUCUAUUCUCAAUUGAAGCCAGGUACAGCUUCA